AGCACCUACACCAGAGACAAAUUAUUAAAGGUCUCAAAGUCUUUGUGGUUUGAAGUCUAGUUUCUAUCAAUAAUUAUAUAUGUUUUUCGUGGGAAUGUAGCAUCUAGCAGAUUUUCUUCAAUAAAAACAACUCUUUUGGGAAAGGGGUAUCCUGGCUUAAGUAUUAAUUCUUUAAAACCUAUGUUCAUUGGCCUCAUGUCAAGCGCAUUAAACUUGCCGACUUUGUCCUUAAUUUCUCUUUUCCUCUUCUUGGAGAGUGGCAUUUUUGAAGUAAAUUAUUAAAGACUUUGUCCAAAAUAAAAAUAUUUGUCCAUUUAAAGGCAUUUACUUGUGUCCUAUAUGUUUGUGUAUGUAUAUAUUGUAAUGUCUCAUUCAAACUGCAAGCAGCUUCUUGAUAUUAUACGUGCUUCUAGAACGCACUGUAAAUGAAUACAACACAACAUAAUCAAUUCCACAAGGAAAUAUAUUUAUUAACACAACACUAUGCCCAACAUUUCACAUUUUCUAGGCAAAAGGGCAAUUAGGUCAGGUCAGUCAGUUAUUUCAGUCAGGUCAGUGAUUACUUUCUGACUGAAAAGGAACCAGAAUAAUAAAACAUACAUUUUAGAUUUAUAAAGAUAUAAAGAUUUAUAAAAAUAUUACAAAGAUAUUGAUAUACAAGAUCAACAAUAACCACAGAUAAAUAGGCCUAUACUGUACAAACAGUCGAGUGGAUCCCAGCGCAUAUAAGCAAUCAAGAAAAACUGAUUUAUUGAUAGAACAAUUAUUAACACUAGAUGGUAAUAAAAAAUAUUUAUUAAUAUUAAAGUAAUAAGUUAAACUACUUCAAUAUCCUCAUACGUUGUAGCCACUCCUCUUUUGUAACUGCCUCAGUGUUUGGGCAAAAUAUUUUGCCUUUAUACUGACUGUGGCCAGUUUCCACAGCGCGAAACUGGCCACAUUUACGACAUGCAUUUGAGGUCACAAUCCGUGUAUACUUGCGUUUUGUGUCUGCAGGUGGAAGGGUGGGUGUUUGUUGUGUGUCUGCAGGUGGGUGGGCCAAUGGGGUAGCACUGGGCAGCAACAAAACGGGUGUCCCACGAACUGGCUGUGCUGGCUUGGGCUGUAGACAAGGGAACUGACGGACAAAGGUGACAGAGGUAGUUGAGGCAGACAGGCAGGUAGCAGAGGGCAGAAUCUUUUUAAAUUUAGUCUUUGCCUGACCUGCUGUUUUGAGUGGCAACUGGUAAGUGUGCAGCUGGUGGCCGUAAGUUGGAGCCACGACAGACUGCUCUCUUGCAGGGGCGAGAGCCUGCACUGCAACAGGUCUUGCCGCAGGUAGCUGCAGUCCUUGUACGAGAACUGACACCUCCUGACCCUUUAACCGCUGAUUGUGCCACGUUGACCUCAACAAGCUGCAGAGUUGUGUGCUGAGUUAUUUGUCCACUGCCCAGAAUAAGUUGCCUGAUUCUCCUGUAGUCUCUCAGGAUCAGAUCCCAUCUCGAAUGUGAAACCAUGCCCUGUUUUUUUAGGAGAUC
rnacentral:lncRNA from 15 species